CAUGCUAGUUGCACGAGUUUAGACUCGUGGCGAAAAGCUCAGUAACACGUGGUCAAACUACCCUACGAAGACCCAUAACCUCGGGAAACUGAGGCUAAUAGGUCAUAGGUGAGUUACGCUGGAAUGCCAACUCUCCCAAACGCUCAGGCGUCGUAGGAUGUGGCUGCGGCCGAUUAGGUAGACGGUGGGGUAACGGCCCACCGUGCCGAUAAUCGGUACGGGUUGUGAGAGCAAGAGCCCGGAGACGGAAUCUGAGACAAGAUUCCGGGCCCUACGGGGCGCAGCAGGCGCGAAACCUUUACACUGCACGCAAGUGCGAUAAGGGGACCCCAAGUGCGAGGGCAUAUAGUCCUCGCUUUUUCCGACCGUAAGGUGGUCGGCGAAUAAGGGCUGGGCAAGACCGGUGCCAGCCGCCGCGGUAAUACCGGCAGCCCAAGUGAUGACCGAUAUUAUUGGGCCUAAAGCGUCCGUAGCCGGCCACGAAGGUUCAUCGGGAAAUCCGCCAGCUCAACUGGCGGGCGUCCGGUGAAAACCACGUGGCUUGGGACCGGAAGGCUCGAGGGGUACGUCCGGGGUAGGAGUGAAAUCCCGUAAUCCUGGACGGACCACCGAUGGCGAAAGCACCUCGAGAAGACGGAUCCGACGGUGAGGGACGAAAGCUAGGGUCUCGAACCGGAUUAGAUACCCGGGUAGUCCUAGCUGUAAACGAUGCUCGCUAGGUGUGGCACAGGCUACGAGCCUGUGCUGUGCCGUAGGGAAGCCGAGAAGCGAGCCGCCUGGGAAGUACGUCCGCAAGGAUGAAACUAAAGGAAUGGCGGGGAGCACUACA
rnacentral:rRNA from 1 species